rnacentral:rRNA from 1 species
AGCGAACGCUGGCGGCAGGCCUAACACAUGCAAGUCGAACGAACCCUUCGGGGUUAGUGGCGGACGGGUGAGUAACACGUGGGAACGUGCCUUUAGGUUCGGAAUAACUCAGGGAAACUUGUGCUAAUACCGAAUGUGCCCUUCGGGGGAAAGAUUUAUCGCCUUUAGAGCGGCCCGCGUCUGAUUAGCUAGUUGGUGAGGUAAUGGCUCACCAAGGCUACGAUCAGUAGCUGGUCUGAGAGGAUGACCAGCCACAUUGGGACUGAGACACGGCCCAAACUCCUACGGGAGGCAGCAGUGGGGAAUCUUGCGCAAUGGGCGAAAGCCUGACGCAGCCAUGCCGCGUGGAUGAUGAAGGUCUUAGGAUUGUAAAAUCCUUUCACCGGUGAAGAUAAUGACGGUAACCGGAGAAGAAGCCCCGGCUAACUUCGUGCCAGCAGCCGCGGUAACAC